AGAUUGAACGCUGGCGGCAUGCCUUACACAUGCAAGUCGAACGGCAGCACGGGAGCAAUCCUGGUGGCGAGUGGCGAACGGGUGAGUAAUACAUCGGAACGUGCCCAAUCGUGGGGGAUAACGCAGCGAAAGCUGUGCUAAUACCGCAUAAGAUCUACGGAUGAAAGCAGGGGAUCGCAAGACCUUGCGCGAAUGGAGCGGCCGAUGGCAGAUUAGGUAGUUGGUGGAAGGUAAGGCUCACCAGCCUUGAUCUGUAGCGUGGUCUGAGAGGACCGACAGCCA
rnacentral:rRNA from 1 species